rnacentral:snoRNA from 1 species
AUGGCAUGAUAGGGACAUUUUUUGAUGAGGUCCUUUAAUCUUUCCCAUGACUCAUGGAACGACUCACCUUCUUGCUGCAAGAAGCUAGUGAGAGCUCGUCUUAUCUU